CCACCCUGCCUCCCCUCCAGCAACCCUGUUUCUUUCCUGUACUUAAGAGUCUCUUAGGGUCUGCCUCCCUCUCUGUUUUCAUCUUUUUUUUUCCUUCCCUUCCCCUAUGUUCAUCUGUUUUUUUCUUCCACAUAUGAGUGAAAUCGUGGUAUUUGUCCUUCUCUGACUGACUUAUUUCGCUUAGCAGAAUACCCUCUAGUUCCAUUCAUGUCAUUGCAAAUGGCAGGAGUUCAUUCUUUUUGAUGGCUGAGUAAUAUUCCAUUGUGUGUAUAUGCCACAUCUUCUUUAUCCAUUCAUCUGCCAGUGGACAUCUAGGCUCUUUCCAUAGUUUGGCUAUUGUGGACUUGCUGCUAUUAACAUUGGGGUGCAGGUGCCCCUUCAGAUCACUGUGUUUGUAUCCUUUGGAGAAAUACCUAGUAGUGCAGUUGCUGGGUUGUAGGGUGGCUUUAGUUUUAAAUGGUUCAGGAAGAAUUUGUAUGAUAAUCAGGGGUAAGGAAAGUAACAUUUUGGGACUACCUAUUAAAUCUCUCAUAAUCCUCACCCCAUGAGAAAAUGUAGGCUAGUAAAUGGCAGAACUGAAACUUGAAUCUACAUUUGAAUGAUUCCAAAACCUGUGUUCUUUGUGUAACGGUGCUCAUUUGAUAAUAGUGAAUAUUAUGAUUAUUUUACCAAAUGUGAUACUUGUAAUCCUUAAAAGUAUUAAUUUUUUUUCUAGAAUGUCCCCAAACCAAGCUUAAGAAAGCUAAUGGCUGCUUGUGAGAAAUUCAAGAACUUGGAAACAAAAUGUGGCCUUAUGACAGUAGGCGAUAACCUUUCACUUACGGACGAUAAUUCUGAUCAUAAAGAUGAAGAUACAAAAGUGUAUGACCUUUUUUGUCCUGCUAUUCCGUCACCUAGCACUCUUAAAAAACCUCUCGGGCCAUUAGAAGGCCUUGGUGUUACAAAGGAAGGAGAGGUGCUAUCAGCAAUUGCAAAAAAGGACAAUGGGAUUGAUACUGAAAGUGCUCCACAAGGGCAAACAGUUAAUGACAACUUGACUUCUGAUAGAGCAUACAAAAAUAAUGGAGAUGUUAUGGUAUUAGGAUUAGAAGAAGAGGAAGAUAGAGAAUCACCUUGGGAUUCUGAGGUACUGUUUUCUUCUUCUUGUUUUACAAUAUAAGCAUUGAGUGAUGUUAAAACAUGAAAGGAAUGCUUAGGCUUUACUCUCUUGUCUGUGUGUUCGCCCAUAAAAAGUAUUUCCUUAUCCUUUUACCUGUAAUUGACAAAAUCAUUAU
rnacentral:lncRNA from 1 species